GGGGGUAUAGCUCAGUUGGAAGAGCACCUGCUUUGCAAGCAGGGGGUCGUCGGUUCGAAUCCGAUUACCUCCACCA
rnacentral:tRNA from 1 species